AUUGAACGCUGGCGGCAUGCUUUACACAUGCAAGUCGAACGGCAGCGCGGGCUUCGGCCUGGCGGCGAGUGGCGAACGGGUGAGUAAUGCAUCGGAACGUGCCCAGCUGCGGGGGAUAGCCCGGCGAAAGCCGGAUUAAUACCGCAUACGACCUGAGGGUGAAAGCGGGGGACCGAAAGGCCUCGCGCUAUUGGAGCGGCCGAUGUCGGAUUAGCUAGUUGGUGGGGUAAAGGCUUACCAAGGCGACGAUCCGUAGCUGGUCUGAGAGGACGACCAGCCACACUGGGACUGAGACACGGCCCAGACUCCUACGGGAGGCAGCAGUGGGGAAUUUUGGACAAUGGGGGCAACCCUGAUCCAGCCAUGCCGCGUGCGGGAAGAAGGCCUUCGGGUUGUAAACCGCUUUUGUUCGGGAAGAAAUCCUCUGGGCUAAUACCCCGGGGGGAUGACGGUACCGGAAGAAUAAGCACCGGCUAACUACGUG
rnacentral:rRNA from 1 species